rnacentral:rRNA from 1 species
CGGACGGGUGAGUAACGCGUGGAAAACCUGCCGUAUACUGGGGGAUAACACUUAGAAAUAGGUGCUAAUACCGCAUAAGCGCACAGCUUCGCAUGAAGCGGUGUGAAAAACUCUGGUGGUAUACGAUGGUUCCGCGUCUGAUUAGCUAGUUGGUGGGGUAAUGGCCUACCAAGGCAACGAUCAGUAGCCGGCCUGAGAGGGUGAACGGCCACAUUGGGACUGAGACACGGACCAGACUCCUACGGGAGGCAGCAG